GCCCCGGUAGCCCAACUGGCAGAGGCAGUCGACUUAAAAUCGACACAGUGCGGGUUCGAUCCCCGUCCGGGGCAC
rnacentral:tRNA from 1 species